rnacentral:rRNA from 1 species
UACGGAGGGUGCGAGCGUUGUCCGGAAUCAUUGGGCGUAAAGGGCGCGUAGGCGGCCUCAGGUGUCGGAUGUGAAAGCCCGGGGCUCAACCCCGGAGGUGCAUCCGAAACUCUGGGGCUGGAGGUCGGAAGAGGAGGGUGGAAUACCCAGUGUAGAGGUGAAAUUCGUAGAUAUUGGGUGGAACACCGGUGGCGAAAGCGGCUCUCUGGUCCGGACCUGACGCUGAGGCGCGAAAGCGUGGGGAGCAAACAGG